AGACCCGAAACCCGGUGAUCUAGCCAUGGGCAGGUUGAAGGUUGGGUAACACUAACUGGAGGACCGAACCGACUAAUGUUGAAAAAUUAGCGGAUGACCUGUGGCUGGGGGUGAAAGGCCAAUCAAACCGGGAGAUAGCUGGUUCUCCCCGAAAGCUAUUUAGGUAGCGCCUCGUGAAUUCAUCUCCGGGGGUAGAGCACUGUUUCGGCUAGGGGGCCAUCCCGGCUUACCAACCCGAUGCAAACUGCGAAUACCGGAGAAUGUUAUCACGGGAGACACACGGCGGGUGCUAACGUCCGUCGUGAAGAGGGAAACAACCCAGACCGCCAGCUAAGGUCCCAAAGUCAUGGUUAAGUGGGAAACGAUGUGGGAAGGCCCAGACAGCCAGGAUGUUGGCUUAGAAGCAGCCAUCAUUUAAAGAAAGCGUAAUAGCUCACUGGUCGAGUCGGCCUGCGCGGAAGAUGUAACGGGGCUAAACCAUGCACCGAAGCUGCGGCAGCGACGCUUAUGCGUUGUUGGGUAGGGGAGCGUUCUGUAAGCCUGUGAAGGUGGCCUGUGAGGGUUGCUGGAGGUAUCAGAAGUGCGAAUGCUGACAUAAGUAACGAUAAAGCGGGUGAAAAGCCCGCUCGCCGGAAGACCAAGGGUUCCUGUCCAACGUUAAUCGGGGCAGGGUGAGUCGACCCCUAAGGCGAGGCCGAAAGGCGUAGUCGAUGGGAAACAGGUUAAUAUUCCUGUACUUGGUGUUACUGCGAAGGGGGGACGGAGAAGGCUAUGUUGGCCGGGCGACGGUUGUCCCGGUUUAAGCGUGUAGGUGUGUGUUCCAGGUAAAUCCGGUUCACUUUAACACUGAGGCGUGAUGACGAGGCACUACGGUGCUGAAGCAACAAAUGCCCUGCUUCCAGGAAAAGCCUCUAAGCAUCAGGUAACAUCAAAUCGUACCCCAAACCGACACAGGUGGUCAGGUAGAGAAUACCAAGGCGCUUGAGAGAACUCGGGUGAAGGAACUAGGCAAAAUGGUGCCGUAACUUCGGGAGAAGGCACGCUGACACGUAGGUGAAGUGAUUUACUCACGGAGCUGAAGUCAGUCGAAGAUACCAGCUGGCUGCAACUGUUUAUUAAAAACACAGCACUGUGCAAACACGAAAGUGGACGUAUACGGUGUGACGCCUGCCCGGUGCCGGAAGGUUAAUUGAUGGGGUCAGCGCAAGCGAAGCUCCUGAUCGAAGCCCCGGUAAACGGCGGCCGUAACUAUAACGGUCCUAAGGUAGCGAAAUUCCUUGUCGGGUAAGUUCCGACCUGCACGAAUGGCGUAAUGAUGGCCAGGCUGUCUCCACCCGAGACUCAGUGAAAUUGAACUCGCUGUGAAGAUGCAGUGUACCCGCGGCAAGACGGAAAGACCCCGUGAACCUUUACUAUAGCUUGACACUGAACAUUGAGCCUUGAUGUGUAGGAUAGGUGGGAGGCUUUGAAGUGUGGACGCCAGUCUGCAUGGAGCCGACCUUGAAAUACCACCCUUUAAUGUUUGAUGUUCUAACGUGGACCCGUAAUCCGGGUUGCGGACAGUGUCUGGUGGGUAGUUUGACUGGGGCGGUCUCCUCCUAAAGAGUAACGGAGGAGCACGAAGGUUGGCUAAUCCUGGUCGGACAUCAGGAGGUUAGUGCAAUGGCAUAAGCCAGCUUGACUGCGAGCGUGACGGCGCGAGCAGGUGCGAAAGCAGGUCAUAGUGAUCCGGUGGUUCUGAAUGGAAGGGCCAUCGCUCAACGGAUAAAAGGUACUCCGGGGAUAACAGGCUGAUACCGCCCAAGAGUUCAUAUCGACGGCGGUGUUUGGCACCUCGAUGUCGGCUCAUCACAUCCUGGGGCUGAAGUAGGUCCCAAGGGUAUGGCUGUUCGCCAUUUAAAGUGGUACGCGAGCUGGGUUUAGAACGUCGUGAGACAGUUCGGUCCCUAUCUGCCGUGGGCGCUGGAGAACUGAGGGGGGCUGCUCCUAGUACGAGAGGACCGGAGUGGACGCAUCACUGGUGUUCGGGUUGUCAUGCCAAUGGCACUGCCCGGUAGCUAAAUGCGGAAGAGAUAAGUGCUGAAAGCAUCUAAGCACGAAACUUGCCCCGA
rnacentral:rRNA from 1 species